UGGAUCUCUGUGGGAACGGGAAGU
rnacentral:siRNA from 1 species